rnacentral:rRNA from 1 species
GACGAACGCUGGCGGCGUGCUUAACACAUGCAAGUCGAACGGAAAGGCCCUGCUUUUGUGGGGUGCUCGAGUGGCGAACGGGUGAGUAACACGUGAGUAACCUGCCCUUGACUUUGGGAUAACUUCAGGAAACUGGGGCUAAUACCGGAUAGGAGCUCCUGCUGCAUGGUGGGGGUUGGAAAGUUUCGGCGGUUGGGGGUGGACUCGCGGCUUAUCAGCUUGUUGGUGGGGUAGUGGCUUACCAAGGCGUUGACGGGUAGCCGGCCUGAGAGGGUGACCGGCCACAUUGGGACUGAGAUACGGCCCAGUCUGCUACGGGAGGCAGCAGUGGGGAAUAUUGCACAAUGGGCGCAAGCCUGAUGCAGCAACGCCGCGUGCGGGAUGACGGCCUUCUGGUUGUAAACCGCUUCCGCCUGUGACGAAGCGUGAGUGACGGUAAUGGGUAAAGAAGCACCGGCUAACUACGUG